UUCUCCUAGGCCUAGCUGUGUAAAAUCCAAUUUUAGCACAGACCCUGUAAAACCAGUUUAGCAAGAACUCUUCCUCAUUGUAGACCAUUCCCAGGUGAUGUCUGAUCACCCUGGCCUGUCUUCAGCAAGAAUCCUGUUAGGGUUUAGCCAGAGUCUUCCUUACUCUGGAUGUUAUUUUUUAGUAAUUUCACAUCCACUGAGUGGGAUGAAAGCAAACCCACCUUGCUCCUUGGCUAUACUUGCCCUUGCUGUUUCCCUACUGUCUCUCCCUCACUGAGUCGAACCCAGUCUCUCUCCCCAGCUGCAACAUCACAUUGCCGUGGUCCCUAUAUCUAUUGAGAUGAUCCUGAAUAACGUCUACCUUACCAUGCUUUAACAAGUAUCACUGAGUAAUUUUUUAUUUAACAGUUACGGUGCUGUGACUCCGAUAGGAUCAGAUUCAUCAUUGGACCCCCAGACCUCUCACCCAGGACCCUAAGUGUGCACCUUUGAAGCCAUUGUCUUCACUCCUGACUGAUAGAUCGGGGAUCCAAUGGUGAGUCAGACUAACGAACCAUUGCUCCGGACAAACAUCUGUUGAAGCUGGAUUCUGAACACAAGCAGUUUGCUCUGUGACUGCCAUUUGAAGUGGCUACUUCAAUGGUUGGUUGAUAAUAACUUUCAACAUUCUGUGAAUGUAAGCUGUGCACACCCUGAAUGGCUAGCAGGGCAAAGCAUCCUGAAUGUGGAUCUGAAAGAUUUUGUCUGUGAUGAUUUUCUCAAGCCACAGAUAAGGACACAUCCUGAAACCAUAAUUGCUCUAAGAGGCAUGAAUGUGACUCUGACGUGCACUGCAGUGAGCAGCAGUGAUUCACCCAUGUCCACUGUGUGGCGCAAAGACAGUGAAAUCCUGUAUGACGUGGAUACUGAGAAUUUUGUUCGUUAUUGGCAGCAAGCUGGAGAAGCUCU
rnacentral:sRNA from 1 species